rnacentral:rRNA from 1 species
GACGAACGCUGGCAGCGUGCCUAAUACAUGCAAGUCGAGCGCAGGAAAUCGACGGAACCCUUCGGGGGGAAGUCGACGGAAUGAGCGGCGGACGGGUGAGUAACACGUAAAGAACCUGCCCUCAGGUCUGGGAUAACCACGAGAAAUCGGGGCUAAUACCGGAUGGGUCAUCGGACCGCAUGGUCCGAGGAUGAAAGGCGCUUCGGCGUCGCCCGGGGAUGGCUUUGCGGUGCAUAAGCUAGUUGGUGGGGUAAUGGCCCACCAAGGCGACGAUGCAUAGCCGACCUGAGAGGGUGAUCGGCCACACUGGGACUGAGACACGGCCCAGACUCCUACGGGAGGCAGCAGUAGGGAAUCUUCCACAAUGGACGAAAGUCUGAUGGAGCAACGCCGCGUGAACGAUGAAGGCCUUCGGGUCGUAAAGUUCUGUUGUAAGGGAAGAACAAGUGCCGCAGGCAAUGGCGGCACCUUGACGGUACCUUGCGAGAAAGCCACGGCUAACUACGUGCCAGCCGCCGCCGUAAUAC